ensembl:lncRNA
CAGAGACAAGGUGGGUUUGAGCCACUAAACUAAGUAUUUAUUACACUCCAAAGACAAUAUUCAUUUGACCAUAAAAAUAAGUGAAAAGCAGAACCAAUGUAAAAAGAGACAAAACAACCAACAAUACAAAACACAACAGGAGAGGAGAAUUUCUAUUGUAAAGAUAUUAAAGUGGAAACUAUUUAAGUGGGUGCAAUGAUCAUCAUGGGUGGAUGUAUAACAAAAGACAAGGAAGUUAAAUGUACACAACAUGCACUUAUCAACAGAAAACCAAAUAACACACUAAAACCAUGCAAGGUUCCUAAUAAAAUGAGCCAGUUAUAUGUCACCACCUCUACAAAUAAUUUAAGCAACCACUAAGUUUCUAUAAACUAAACCAGAUUAUAAAAGUCACUAACCUUAAGCAAGACCUCCAAAAGAAAUGACCUCUCCUCAAUACAAACAUAAAACGAAAUCAUCACUAUACACAAACAGGCAAAGGUUCCAGUCCCGAUAAAUGUAAAUAAAUAAAACAUGUAACCUAAAUGAGUAAGUGUAAACUCAAACUAGGCAAAACAGCAGCGGCGCUGUGCACUACACGAACAGAACAAAUACAAAAGUCAAGAUCUGUCCCGGCAUGGCAAAACAUACAGUAAAGGUGACAAUCAAACAAAGGAAGAGUACCUUGGCUGUCUCCUCCAGUGAAUCACACAGAGCGUCAACCUCGAACCAAGCAGCAGAACAGCACACAAUGCACACCAGGCAGCAACCACCGCAGGUAAAGUCGGAGCUUACCGAACGGGCAUUUAUUUCCGUGUACCUAACGUUACACACACAUUAAAUAAGACUGAUCAUAUUACUAUUUUGCUGUAACUUUCACUUUCCAGUUAAAGGAAAUGGAGUCUGGGGUGUUUUAUGUAGGAGGGGACAACUGAGUUUGCUGUAUUUCUUUUUUUAAAGUGAUGUAAAUCUAUUCAUGAUACAAAUGUUAUAUAACCUAUCCAAGCAUUUCAGGCCCAUUGUAGCACAGAUGACAGAACAUAGACAUGGUUACAGACAAAAAUAGAAGAUCGGAUUUCAGACUAUAGAGGCAUAUUAGCUGUCAGAGUCACACACACCAGUGUAAGGUGGGGUCUAAUUUCAGAUGUGACUGUCCUAUUUGAGGACCGUAACUCCUUGUCCAAUAUAUUUCAAUGAGCUUAACAAUCACAAUAUGUGGCUUGGAAUUCAAACCAAAUUGCUAGAUAAUUUAAGUAGUUUAGAAAGAAAAUGUGUUUUUGCUUUGUAUUGUGUGUAGAUUGUUGGUAGAAAAUAUGAAUUCUAUCAAUUAUAAAUGAAUUCUAUUACACAACAACAUGUGAAUAAAGUGAGAUAUACUGUAUCAGUGUUUCUAGUCUUAGAUUAUGCAAAUGCAAGCAAUAUAUUACACAUCCAGCCCAGAUCGCAUCUCGUAAAUCGAAUCACAGAGUAACAAGUUGAAAACAUCCAGCCCAGGAUCUUUCAUUUCUUUAUAUGUGAAUAUGUUCUCAGAUAGUAUAAAUAGGGGUUAAUCCCAAACAAAGCCCCACUGAAAAGGCUGAUUUUUUGUGUCCAUUAAACGAGAUUAUUAUUUAAAUAUUUACAGCUCCGGAAAAAAAUUAAGAGGCCACUGCACCUUUUUCAGUGGGGCCUUAAAAAUUAAGGUUUUGAGUAGGAAGAGAAGUGUUGAAAUUAAGAGACUGCAAACUGAACGCUUCUGUUACUCACUCAAAACAUACUUUUUCAACUUUUUUGGAAAGGAAAUAAAAAGGUGCACUGGUCUUCGCUGUUUUUUUCAGAGUAUUUCAAUAUUUAAGUCAAAGUCAUAAAUGUAUCUGACUAUCCAUAAUAAUUGCACUUUUGUGUGUAACUGCUAAUUAAUUAAAUAACCUUGGUGGUUUGAGUAUGCCUUUCAGCGGGAAGACCGAGAGUGGAAUAACUUUUUUUUUUUACUUCACUGAAGGAUUAAGACAUGCUCUCAACAAAUUCAUUAAAGACAUAAACACUUUGUCUUGUGAAACAUCACCAACAGAACAGAAAUAACAAAACAGCUAUGGAAUUCAGUGUUGAUUAAGUCAAAUCAAUGUAACCAAAGGCUACUGCUACAAUAAAGCACAUUGAACCUCUAAAUGCAGAUAGAUGCUGUAUCUACUUACAUUGACAAUAGAGAAAUAGUGAUGUUGGUCUGUGUAUUUUGUGGAUACCACACAUUAAAUAAGACUGAUCAUUAUCCAACUAGAUGUUGUUUGCUGUAUCUUUUGAUUUCCUGUUUAAGGAAAUGGAGUCUAGGUGUGGUGGGUAGGAGGUGACAACCACUGUUUACCACUGUGUUGCAUCACCUCUUUUAACAAUAUUCUGUAAGGGAACUGAGGAGACCAAUUGAUGUAGUUAUGAAAGGAAGAUGUUUUCCUAAUCUUGCUUGAUAUAGGAUUUCAGCUGAUAAUGAUUUCAGGGUCUCUUAUGUUGUAUUUUUUGUUUCAUAAUGCUCCUAAUGUUUUCAAUGGGUGACAGGUCUGGACUGCAGGCAGACCAGUUAAUUAAGCACCCGGACACUUUUACUACUGAGCCAUGCUGUUGUAAUAUGUACAGAAUGUGGUGUCGCAUUGUCUUGCUGAAAUAAGCAAGGUCUUCUUUUCCACUUCACGUCAGUCCAUCUUAAAUGAGCUUGGGCCCAAAGAAGGCGACAGCGUUUCUG